rnacentral:rRNA from 1 species
GACGAACGCUGGCGGCGUGCCUAAUACAUGCAAGUCGAACGCUUUUUCUUUCACCGGAGCUUGCUCCAUCGAAAGAAAAAGAGUGGCGAACGGGUGAGUAACACGUGGGUAACCUGCCCAUCAGAAGGGGAUAACACUUGGAAACAGGUGCUAAUACCGUAUAACACUAUUUUCCGCAUGGAAGAAAGUUGAAAGGCGCUUUUGCGUCACUGAUGGAUGGACCCGCGGUGCAUUAGCUAGUUGGUGAGGUAACGGCUCACCAAGGCAACGAUGCAUAGCCGACCUGAGAGGGUGAUCGGCCACACUGGGACUGAGACACGGCCCAGACUCCUACGGGAGGCAGCAGUAGGGAAUCUUCGGCAAUGGACGAAAGUCUGACCGAGCAACGCCGCGUGAGUGAAGAAGGUUUUCGGAUCGUAAAACUCUGUUGUUAGAGAAGAACAAGGAUGAGAGUAGAACGUUCAUCCCUUGACGGUAUCUAACCAGAAAGCCACGGCUAACUACGUGCCAGCAGCCGCCGUAA